UUUUCAUGGACGCACGUCUCCAUGUUGCCUGUCGGCCUUAUCUCCAUCCCUCAUCACCUCUGCGAGCACAAGUUUUAGCGCCUGCCCUCAGUCCAGCUCGCCAGCAGCUCUCUGCCCUCCUCCCUCAAGCCCUAGCCGAGUUUUUCCAUGGUGCCCUGAAUGCCAGCCCCUUUACUCGAUGCCCCUGCUAGGUUCCAUGGCCGUCGCUGUCCCAGCCAUCUCCUUGGUGGCCGACCUCGCCCCUGCAACCUCGCCUCGCUGGAUCUCCUCAGGGCGCCGGGAUGCUGCUUCCUACACGUCGUGCGGCUCCCUGGUGCUUGCUCUCGCCCUUGGCUAUGGAACAGCAACAGCCAUAGAGCCUCUUCGUGUCGCGCCCUCGACGUGCUCGACGUAAUGUCGCAGCAGGUUACACUUGAUCUGUGCACUCCGGUCACGAUGUCGUCGAAUCCCAGUGAGGACCCAUUGUUCUCCUUGUGUUUAUUCCUCUCCGGUACAUGUAUUCGACGCUGAUUAAUUAAAUGCUAAUCGUGUGUAUAUGUGUGCUUAUGUUUGUGAUUUUUGUGGAGAAACACCUGAGGCAGUUGGGUGGAGAAGAAUAAAGAAAGCUCUCGCGCAUCACACACCUAGCGCUCGACGGAAUGAUUGAGUUUGAAUCGUCGCCGUUUUCCGUUAUUUGGUUUAGUAUGGUACGUUCAUUGAUCUCGUAAUGUGGAGGACAACAACUGGAAUGAUCUCAAGGUGAUGCUGAUGGACGAAGCUAAAGUGGAUGAAUCAAACAAGCACCAGGAUGAGAGAUGCUCACCAAGUGGUCAUCAUCUAACCACACUAACCUAGUGUUAUCCCAGGAUUAUAAGUUUGUUCUGUUGUGGAUGGUGCUAAGUGCCGGUGGGCUCGGCCUUCUUAUAUAAGUAUAUCACAUCUUUAGCUUCUUUAUUGAGGACUGUCACUUAAGCUAGCAUGUAUUUUAAAACUUAUAAAUGUUUUAUACAUUCAAAUUGUAAUUCUUUUUAAUCAUUUUCUUUUGUAAUCACUCCGAUAAUUGUAUAAUGUAAACUUAUUGUAACAUGUAAUCAUUUUGUAAUAAAGAAUUUAUUUCCGCUGC